AGGGCCAAAGGCUCCAUGAUACUUUCUUCAAUGGCUUCUUCACAAGCUGCAUUAUCUGCAUUUCCUCUCACAAAUCCUGUGAUUCGCAAGAAGCCCUCUUCUUUUUCGUCUUCUUCGUCUUCGAAUUCUGUUCUAAAACCACUCGCCGUCGCGAAAGAGGUUCACUUUAACCGCGAUGGCUCUGUGACCAAGAAACUUCAGGCAGGUGCGGAUAUGGUGGCGGAGCUAUUGGGAGUGACUUUGGGUCCAAAGGGAAGAAACGUAGUGUUGCAGAACAAGUACGGAACUCCGAGAAUCGUCAAUGACGGUGAAACGGUUCUCAAAGAGAUUGAAUUGGAGGAUCCUUUGGAGAAUGUUGGAGUGAAACUUGUGAGGCAAGCGGGUGCUAAGACAAAUGACCUUGCCGGUGAUGGUUCCACGACGUCUAUAGUGCUUGCUCACGGGCUUAUUACCGAGGGAAUCAAGGUGGUUUCAGCUGGAACAAAUCCUGUCCAAGUUACCCGUGGCAUAGAAAAAACAGCAAAUGCCCUUGUUUCAGAGCUCAAAUCAAUGUCCAGAGAGGUCGAGGAUAACGAGCUUGCUGAUGUUGCAGCAGUUAGUGCGGGGAAUGACUAUGAGGUGGGAAACAUGAUUGCAGAUGCUCUUCGAAAAGUGGGGAGGACUGGUUUAGUAACAAUCGAGAAAGGAAAAUGCCUCGAGAACAGUCUUCAGAUUGUUGAGGGAAUGCAGUUCAAUCGUGGGUUUUUAUCCCCUUAUUUUGUCACCGAUCGUAGAAAGAUGGAAGCCGAGUUCCAUGACUGCAAGUUGCUUCUGGUCGACAGAAAGAUCACAAACCCAAAGGAGAUGUUCAAAAUAUUGGAUUCUGCAGUUAAAGAGGAUUUCCCGGUUCUGAUUGUUGCUGAGGACAUCGAGCAAGAGGCUCUUGCUCCAGUAAUCAGGAACAAACUUAAAGGCAACCUCAAGGCAGCAGCUAUCAAAGCUCCUGCCUUUGGUGAGCGUAAGAGCCACUGCUUGGACGAUCUAGCAAUCUUAACUGGAGCCACUGUGAUCAGAGACGAGAUGGGGAUGAGCUUAGAGAAGGCUGGAAAGGAGGUAUUAGGAACAGCAACAAGGAUUCUAGUGACUAAGGAUUCAACACUGAUCGUUACAGAUGGGAGCAACAGGGGAGCAGUUGAGGAAAGGGUUUGCCAGAUUAAAAAGCUAAUCGAGAAUACCGAGGGAAAUUUUCAGAAGAAUAUCCUCAAUGAAAGAGUAGCUAGAUUGGCGGGUGGAAUUGCUAUAAUCCGGGUUGGUGCCCAAACUCAAGUUGAGUUGAAGGAUAAACAGCUAAAGAUUGAAGAUGCCCUGAAUGCAACCAAGUCAGCAAUUGAAGAGGGAGUUGUGGUUGGCGGUGGCUGUGCUCUUCUUCGGUUGUCAUCAAAGGUGGACAGAAUCAAGGACAUUCUUGAAAACACAGAACAGAAGAUUGGAGCCGAGAUCUUCAAGAAAGCAUUAAGCUACCCGAUAAGAUUGAUAGCCAAGAAUGCAGGCGCGAAUGGCAAUAUCGUUGUUGAAAAGGUAUUGGCUAGUGAAAACGUGACGUAUGGGUACAACGCAGCGAAGAAUGUCUAUGAAGAUCUGAUGUUGGCUCGAAUUAUGGAUCCAACAAAGGUUGUGAGAUGUUGCCUGGAACAUGCAGCAUCUGUGGCUAAAACGUUUCUGACAUCGGAAGCUGUGGUGGUUGAGAUAAAAGAAAUCAGACCGAGGCCGAUCAUAAAUCCUCCAUUGCCAACUUCUUCAGCUUCACACAUCUUCCCCAGCAAAAGAAUGAAAAGGUUUCCUCCAAUCAUGGACAGGAAGACAAGCUUCCCUAUGAACCAGUUACUUGAUAUAACCAGACAACACUUGAAGAGACAAGAGUAGGGGCAUUGAUAUUGUAAAGCUCAAACAUUUAGUAAUGUGUAAAUCAUCAGUUCUUCACCUUUCAUCAUCAAAACCGGAAUCUUCAGAAACUUUCCUCACCAUAGAGUAGAAGCAAUCGAAGAAGAAGAAGAUGCUGUUGAUGGGGAUAAGUUUGCAGGCGGCGACGGAUCUGAUGGUCGCCGGAUUUUCUCUGAUGAUCGGAUUAGGAUUCUUCACUUUCAUCGCCUCCAUCCUCUGCUCCGCCGCCUUCCUCCACCACUCCAAAGACGUUUCUUGAUUCUCUCUGCCGCAAAACCCUCGCCGGAGGACUAUGUCCGUCGUCAAUUUCGACUUUUUUCUAAAACCCCGCCCGAUAAUCUACCAUUUGUAAGCUGAAGAACUCUAGAGAAAUGUAUUAUCUAUGGUCUUAUGUGAUCAGAAAUUGAAAUCUUUGAAAGUUUUUCCA